rnacentral:tRNA from 1 species
GCCGGGGUGGCGGAAUAGGUAGACGCAGCGGACUUAAAAUCCGCUGGGAAUUUUUCCCGUGCCGGUUCAAGUCCGGCCUUCGGCACCA